ACCACUUGGAGUUUUCGACUCUACUUUUUUUUAUAUGAAACUAGACUCGAAGAUCUUUCUUUCGGUAUGAGUCUCGAGUCCAGGAGAUGUCGGAGUCAGAACAGAUUAAAUUUUGAAGUUGAGUCAGUGUUAAAACAGAGCAUGUUUUGAUGAUGUUUGAUUGUGAUUCUUAUGUGCCUUAUGUGUUUGUGUUGCCUAUGUGUUUGAAUGAGAUUAGACGAGGUAUGAUUGAUUUUUGACUGUCUUUAAUGUAACGAAUUAUGGAUGCUAGAACCCUAAAACAUUAAAAGAUACCCUAGGCACGUAGAAUUAGACUUUGUCUUAUGACAAUUUCUUCACGAACUUAUCGACUCUUCAUCAAUGAAGGUCCGGGCGACAGAAAGUGAAGCCGAAGAAGAAACGACUCCACGCCAGCUUUAAGAACAAUUGAGGUUGAGCAGGCGAUGGAAUGGAUCGGUGUUGAGCGGAUUUCCCUUUUGAUGUUUAUGUAAUGAAACCUUGAGUAUGCAUCUCCAUAUGCAUAACUCACACGUUUUUUUCGCUGCAAACACUCUGACUUAUUUAUCAUUUCUACUUGAACUUAUUACUACUUCAUUUUAAUUAACUUUCAGUUGGGGUCUAAUCGUUAUGGCAGACUCAUUUGUGAAUUACCCAAGUGGUUAUAUAUAUAUACCACUAGUUUGUUAUUAAUGUUGGUUACUUAGUAAAUCCCCUUUAAUUUCCGUUUCU